rnacentral:lncRNA from 1 species
GGGCUUAUAUAUAUAUAUAUAUAUAUGAAGUGAGGCUACUAUGCUAUCGGAAGCACGGAGCCUUCCGUACUUCCAGCUCGUUUUCGAUGUUGCGACUUUCGAAUCGUUAAUCGGCUCCGUUAAACUUGAUCUAGAGUAUUUGAAGUACCUAGAAAAUAAAUUUUAUGAUUUUACGAUACCUUUUGCCUAGUGAACGAAGGGGCUCAAAAUCAACGGCUGAAAAUAAAAAUCUUACAAAAUGUAAUAAUAUGACAUUAAAAUUUUAAAUCAAAAAUAUUGAUCUUGUUUUAUAUAGUAUAAAGAAUUUUCUAUCAAAAUUUCACAUGAUUUGGAUAUUUCUACACCGUUAAACUUGCAAACGGCUCACUACGGCCAUUGAAAUUUGUUGAUUUUG